rnacentral:sRNA from 1 species
AAUUUUUGUUUUAAAUAGUUGCCGAAAUCUAGUUUAAAUUUUGGAGAAAUAAGAUUUAGUGAAUUGAUAAAAAAAUGUAUUUAAGUGCGUUUUGCUCAUUUUAAGGGAUUGCAAUUGUAUUUUGGUUUGCCAAACA